CCCUUAGAUGUCCGGGGCUGCACGCGCGCUACACUGACUGGCUCAGCGUGUGCCUACCCUACGCCGGCAGGCGCGGGUAACCCGUUGAACCCCAUUCGUGAUGGGGAUCGGGGAUUGCAAUUAUUCCCCAUGAACGAGGAAUUCCCAGUAAGUGCGGGUCAUAAGCUUGCGUUGAUUAAGUCCCUGCCCUUUGUACACACCGCCCGUCGCUACUACCGAUUGGAUGGUUUAGUGAGGCCCUCGGAUCGGCCCCGCCGGGAUCGGCCCACGGCCCUGGCGGAGCGCUCAGAAGACGGUCGAACUUGACUAUCUAGAGGAAGUAAAAGUCGUAACA
rnacentral:rRNA from 1 species